GACGAACGCUGGCGGCGUGCUUAACACAUGCAAGUCGAACGGGCCUGUCUUCUUUUUUGGGGGUGGGUUGAGUGGCGAACGGGUGAGUAUCACGUGAGUAACCUGCCCUUCGGUCCUGGAUAACCGCUUGAAAGGGCGGCUAAUACGGGGUGGUCCGGUUGGUCCGCAUGGGCUGGUCGGGAUAGAUUCACUGUUUUUGGUGUUUCGGCGGGGGAUGGGCUCGCGGCCUAUCAGCUUGUUGGUGGGGUGAUGGCCUACCAAGGCGGUGACGGGUAGCCGGCCUGAGAGGGUGGGCGGCCACACUGGGACUGAGAUACGGCCCAGACUCCUGCGGGAGGCAGCAGUGGGGGGUAUUGCACAAUGGGCGGAAGCCUGAUGCAGCGACGUCGCGUGAGGGAUGGAGGCCUUCGGGUUGUGAACCUCUGUUUCCGGUGGCGAAGGCCCUGUCCGUGUGGUGGGGUUGACGGUAGCCGGGGAUGAAGCGCCGGCUAACUACGUG
rnacentral:rRNA from 1 species